rnacentral:ncRNA from 1 species
UAAUUGAUCUCCGAGCCGUUCAAUCCUAAAGACCCCCAUGGAUGUCUGGCCUAAGCAUCAGCUUAAGGGCUUUGCUGGAAACAGCAAAACCUUCCAUCUUUGAAAAGGAGCAG